GGGCAACGGCCACAGCUUUAUUAACUUUACAACUUUUUAACGGACCAGCAUUCUAUCCAACUGUCAGCCGUUGGGUAACUCCCCCCAACAGACAUAUUCCACUUCCUUGUCCAGAGUUCGUAUCAGCCUGCCGACUGCCAUUAGCCCUCAGCAGGCUGCGACUCCCCAAGCCGACUCAUCGCUUCCCAUCACUUUCCAUUUCGCUGGCCAGGAGCACCGCCAGAGCUGUGACAAUGAGAAAACAAAAACCAGAAAAACAGCAACGCUGUACCAAGAAACACAGGGAGGGUGGGUGGGAAAGAGUCAGGUUCCUAACAGUCCUGGAUGCAGAUUG